GUGCCAGCAGCCGCGGUAAUACGUAGGGUGCGAGCGUUAAUCGGAAUUACUGGGCGUAAAGCGUGCGCAGGCGGUUAUAUAAGACAGUUGCGAAAUCCCCGGGCUUAACCUGGGAAUGGCGCUUGUGACUGCACGACUGGAGUGCGGCAGAGGGGGAUGGAAUUCCGCGUGUAGCAGUGAAAUGCGUAGAUAUGCGGAGGAACACCGAUGGCGAAGGCAGUCCCCUGGGCCUGCACUGACGCUCAUGCACGAAAGCGUGGGGAGCAAACAGGAUUAGA
rnacentral:rRNA from 1 species